CCCCCCAGCUGCGGCGGCGGCAGCUGACGCAGCAGGAGUAGAACGCUGGGGGCAGCCAAUCCGUAGGGCCGGAGCUGGCUCCGACCGUUUAUCCCGACCGUUUAUCCCCCCGACGCCGACAAGAAACUGCAGUCCGAGCCCCUGCUGAGGGGAGUGGGGGAACCAAUCCCGGCCGUCCCUCUACCCGUGCUGAGGAGACCGCGUUACUCACCGGCAGGUCCGCAACGGCAGCAGAACGAGGAAGAAGAUUCCAAUUCAUAGCUGGGAUGUUACCAUUGGUAACUCUGUGUCCAAUGGCAACUUAUCCACCAAUAAACCGUUUGGGAGGCAGAUUAGUAAUAGCUGAACUGGAACACUUGCUGAAGAAUGUGGGACAAAGGUCAUGGGGGCAGAGCUGGAAGACUCUACAAAGUGCUAAACUCAAAUAGGCUUUCACCCAGCAAGGACACUCGUCCAGAGAGGUAGAUCGCACGUUUGAAAGAGCCACCUGGAUACCAUGUGAAGAACUGCUGCAGUACAGAAGAAAACCCCCCACAAAUCGCACACUGCUGGUUAUGACAUAUCACUCCUCCCUUGAACCUGUAUGGAAAAUCCUCAAAAAAUUGCAACCCAUAUUAGAAAGAGACCCUAUUCUUAAAAAGAUCUUCCCAGAGCCACCCAUCCUAGCCUUUAAACAAGCACUGAAUCUCGCCAACCUCAUCACCAGAAGCAAACUUCCUCAAGCCCAGAACACACCAAAAGGAUCCAGACCGUGCCAUGACAAGAAAUGCAAAACCUGCCAACACAUCUCCACCACCCCCACAAUUACUACACCCCACAACAGAGCCAUCAGCAUCCCAGGAUCUUACAGCUGCACCUCCAGAAAUGUAAUAUACCUCAUCCAAUGCACCAAAUGCCCUGAUGGAAAAUAUGUAGGAGAGACCAAACAACAACUGCGCACCAGAAUGAACGCACACCAGAAAUCCAUCAAAGACAGAAAUACCCAAUUACCGGUGGGGGCACAUUUCUCACAGGAGGGCCACUCUCUCUCCAAUCUCUCAGUCCUGAUCCUCAAGGGAAAUUUACACAACACUUUCCAGAGACGAGCCUAUGAGCUCCAUUUCAUCAACCUCCUGGAUACUAGAGAUCAUGGACUAAACAUAGACAUUGGAUUUUUGAUACAUUAUAAUCUGCCUGGCAACUGACUCCCCAGCCCAGCCCCUGGCUUCUUUACUUUUCAUUCCAUCUGGGAAGAGCACACACCAACUGCUGAAACUUCCUUAGCCUGACGAAGGGUUUUUGAACCCGAAAGCUUGCUUAAUAACUAUUCUCCAACUAUUUGGGUUGGUCUAAUAAAAGAUAUCAAAUUCA